rnacentral:misc_RNA from 1 species
GAUGAAGAACGUAGCGAAAUGCGAUAAGUAAUGUGAAUUGCAGAAUUCAGUGAAUCAUCGAAUCUUUGAACGCACAUUGCGCCCGCUGGAACUCCGGCGGGCACGCCUGUCCGAGCGUCAUUUCAACCCUCAGGCCCCCCUUCGCGGGCGGGCCUGGUGUUGGGGCCCGGCCGCUACCCUGCGGCCGUCCCCUAAAUCCAGUGGCGGCCUCGCCGUGAUCCCUUGCGUAGUAAUGCACCUCGCACCGGAGAGCGCCGUGGCCACGCCGUAAAACCCCCAAUUUUCAAUGGUUGACCUCGGAUCAGGUGGGAAUACCCGCUGAACUUAAGCAUAUCAAUAAGCGGAGGA